GUGCUUGCUUCACAGUACAUGUACUCAGAUUGGAACGAUACAGAGAAGAUUAGCAUGGCCCCUGUGCAAGGAUGGCACACAAAUUUAUGAAGCAUUCCAUAUUUUG